rnacentral:lncRNA from 1 species
AUGGGAUUAAAUCUCCCAAACCCCAAAAUAAUGUCAUUCUCUCUCAAAAUCACCAAGAAAACUUCUUAGGGUUUCAACCCAAAGAUCAAAAUAUCUUAAGAUUUCACCGUGGGUUUUCAAUAAUUCUUCGAGAUUCGGAGUCCCCAUUGCGAGGGCUACAAGAAGCACACAUCAAUUGUUCGAAUAUCAUUCCUAAAGCAUGAGUUCAUUCAAGAGUCAUAAAUUAAGGUACGCGGGGUUUUCCUAAAUUCUCAUGGGCAUAGAAAUCAUAUUUUAAGAAAGGGAUUUUUGAAUUCAUGUACAUAUUCAUGUUUAAGAAGCGUUAAUGAUAUUGUUUUGGCCUUUUGACUUUUCCCCCAAAGUGAUUUGAAAGUAAUACAUAUAUGUAUGUAAGUGUUUGUCUUGAAAUAUGAAUUGAGAGCAUGAUUUAUAUGAAAUCCCUCUCUUGAUGUAAUUUUUCCCAUGUUUCACAUGAUAUGGAUUGUUUUGAAAUAUAUCUUGAAAAGCAUGUUAUGAAAAGUCUUAAAUAAUGAUUUUGGAUUACGAUUUUUGCUUUCAAAAGAGAGAGGAUUGUUUGUAUUGACAAAUGUUGAAUAUCCAUAUAAUGCAAGAGUGUAUGCUUUUGCCAAAAGCACAUGACCACCAUAUGUUUGAUGAAAGUUUUUACAUGGUAUUGACUUGAGUUUUGGAACAUGAAAUCUUUUAUGCAAAUUACAUGUUUGGGUGGUGUGAAACUAUAUUUUUAUGAAAGAUCGUGCUUAUGACAUUAUGGCUCAGAAAUAGGACUUGCAAGUCUUGGUAUGACGAUACCAAACUCAGAAAAUGCCAUAACAGACACAGACUAAUACAGAAAUCAGACUUUAUCAGAUUUGCAUGUUUUAGAACUUCAGAAUGAUGCAUGUUCAGAAAAGGCUAAAUAGGGCAUAAAGAGAUGUUAGGUGGUUCCCCGAAGAAGGCAUGAGUUCAGACAACUCAUUGCCCAAAAUUGUGAUUUGCUGAUCCGGGUUUAUAUAUUACGCUGGCCUAGAGCCGUGUGGCGUAUCAGAAUCAGAAAUUCCAACCCUUGCGGCACACUCGGGUUAGGGGCUUCCCCGCCGAGUCAAUGGCGGAUUCCAUAUAGCCCGUGGAAUAUCAGACUUGUAGGGAAGCGCCACCUAACUCAGAAGUAAUACAAAGAUCAAAAACUGUUUUGACAAGAAUGUCUUAGCAUGUUUCAAAAUGAUGCCCAUGUGUUUUGGAAACUAUUUUAUACAUGAUGUUUUGUUAAAUUGCUCUCAUCUACUUUAUACGUAUACAAAUACACUAUUUUAGAUUGCUUCGUGUGCCAGUACUUUUGUGAUGACCUCCCCCCUCCUUCCAGGUUCUAGGGCACAGUCUAGGGGUCCAAAUAAACAGUAGAUAUUUCAGAUCGCAGAUCUGAUUGUGC